AGCGAACGCUGGCGGCAGGCCUAACACAUGCAAGUCGAACGAACUCUUCGGAGUUAGUGGCGGACGGGUGAGUAACACGUGGGAACGUGCCUUUUGGUUCGGAAUAACUCAGGGAAACUUGUGCUAAUACCGAAUGUGCCCUUCGGGGAAAGAUUUAUCGCCAUUAGAGCGGCCCGCGUCUGAUUAGCUAGUUGGUGAGGUAACGGCUCACCAAGGCGACGAUCAGUAGCUGGUCUGAGAGGAUGACCAGCCACACUGGGACUGAGACACGGCCCAGACUCCUCCGGGAGGCCGCAGUGGGGAAUCUUGCGCACUGGGCGAAAGCCUGACGCAGCCAUGCCGCGUGAAUGAUGAAGGUCUUAGGAUUGUAAAAUUCUUUCACCGGGGACGAUAAUGACGGUACCCGGAGAAGAAGCCACGGCUAACUUCGUG
rnacentral:rRNA from 1 species